UACAGAGGUCCCAAGCGUUGUUCGGAUUCACUGGGCGUAAAGGGUGCGCAGGUGGGUUUGCAAGUUUGAUGUGAAAGCCCCGGGCUUAACCCGGGAAUGGCAUUGAAUACUGCAGAUCUGGAGGAUUGGAGGGGGGACUGGAAUUCUUGGUGUAGCAGUGAAAUGCGUAGAUAUCAAGAGGAACACCAGUGGCGAAGGCGAGUCCCUGGACAAUUCCUGACACUGAGGCACGAAGGCCAGGGGAGCAAACGGG
rnacentral:rRNA from 1 species